UUCAUUAGAGUGAUUCUUGACCACUAAUCAGUAAGGGUGGGAAUAGCAAUAAAGUCCAACCCACAUUCUUUUUUGAAUAGGUCCAUCAGCCGCUUACAGCCUUGCCUUUGUACCAAUCAGAAACAAGUUGGAUAAGCGUCUCACUGAACCAAUUGGCCGGCGGCAAACGGUGCCGGACUUGUUCGUCGGAGAAUUCUCCACCGCCAUAGCUCCGAUGCGCACCGCACCGUACCGUACCGAGAUUUCGCGGUAAAUCAAGCAACACAGAACUGAAUUUUUUUUAUUGGAAUUGAAGAGUUCCUGAAAGAUUCUACGACCUAUUAUUAUUACUAUUCGCAACACGCUAUGCGAAUUCUGCAACUGAGGUCUUCAUUUCAGUUAUUGCUAUCGCUUAUCGUUAUGGCGCACUCUGAUGUUGUGAUCAAACACCUGAUGUUGUGAUUAAAGUUAAUUCAUCUAAGGAGAACAAGUUUUUGUCCACGUAGUUCAAAAAUAAUUUAUCAAUAAGACAUAUUUAGUCCCAAAGUCUCUUAAUUUAAUUUAAUGUUUCGCUUGGACUCUUAACUAAAAAGUGUUACAAGUUAGUUCUUUAACUUCAUUCAUGUUACUCUAUUUGGUCCUUUCCGUUAAUUUCUGAUAAAAAAAUGUUAAGUUAUAGUGACAUUGAUGUACAACAAGGCUCAAAGUUUAAAUUUAACUUACCAUUCAUGUUGAUUGAAAUUCUUUUUUUUUUAUUGGUUGUAGUUAAGGUGCACUCUGAUGUUGUGAUCAAACACCUGAUGUUGUGAUUAAAGUUAAUUCAUCUAAGGAGAACAAGUUGUUGUCCAAGUAGUUCAAAAAUAAUUUAUCAAUAAGACAUAUUUAGUCCCCAAGUCUCUUAAUUUAAUUUAAUGUUUCGCUUGGACUCUUAACUAAAAAGUGUUACAAGUUAGUCCUUUAACUUCAUUCAUGUUACUCUAUUUGGUCCUUUCCGUUAAUUUCUGAUAAAAAAAUGUUAAGUUAUAGUGACAUUGAUGUACAACAAGGCUCAAAGUUUAAAUUUAACUUACCAUUCAUGUUGAUUGAAAUUCUCUUUUUUUUUUAUUGGUUGUAGUUAUGGUGCACUCUGAUGUUGUGAUCAAACACUUGAUGUUGU